rnacentral:ncRNA from 1 species
GCCUAUCCUUGACCGAGAGGUCCGGGUAAUCUGCGAAACUGCAUCGUGAUGGGGAUAGAUUAUUGCAAUUAUUAAUCUUCAACGAGGAAUGCCUAGUAAGCGCAAGUCAUCAGCUUGCGUUGAUUACGUCCCUGCCCUUUGUACACACCGCCCGUCGCUCCUACCGAUUGGAUGUGCUGGUGAAGCGUCCGGAUUGGUGACAGGCGACGGUUCGCCGCUGCUUGUUGCCGAGAAGUUCGUUAAACCCUCCCAUCUAGAGGAAGGAGAAGUCGUAACAAGGUUUUCCACGGUACGCUGAGAUGGUCCUUCCGUCAAGUUUCACGUACUGAAGCCUUAGCCGCCGUAACAGGUACUCGCCGCGACUUUCGUCCGCACGAAACAAGGAGCGAGUUGAAAGGCUAGUCGGCGCGCGCCCACCGGCGCCGGCAACAUCGUCAAAUUGCGGGAACACCCUAAGAGCUCUCGAACACCAAGCGGGCUGCCGAAAGGCGCCUGUGGCCGGGUUAACGACCCCGGGUACGGUAACAGCGUCGAGAGAUGAAGCCCCUCGCACGAGGCGGCCGAAGUGGGUCAUCCGCAGCCAAGUCCCUCCGCAGGCGCGCGUGCGCCCUGCUGGGAUGCUGUUCACAGACUAAAUGACGAUGGGUCCGCUCACCGCGAGCGGGCUUAAGAUAUAGUCGGGUCGCUCGGAGACAGAG